GCACACACGUACACACACACACACACACACGUACACACACACACACACACACUCUCUCUUUUACCAAUGCACACAUUCUGAUUUUCACCCCGUGGCUGUUACCAGUAGCCUCAGCCUCUCGUCUCUCCGAGCGCAGAUAUCUGAGUACACACACACACGCCAGAGCACACAUUGUGGUCUCCUGGGACAGCGAAGGCUCUGAAUGGCGUCAUUGCACGGGAAGAUGGCUGUCCCCAUGGAGAUGCUGUUGAAAGUUUGCGGAAAAUCUUCCUAUCCCCUUCCUGGUGGUGGUGGUAGGGAUUCAGACGCAGUUAAAGGAAGUAUGAACUCAAAUGACCAGUAUUAUGAGGUUACGGUGUGACAUUAAACAUUUAAUCGCUUCUUUGGUUGAAUGUCCCACUUGAGGAAAUUGCAUACUACAGCUGCUAAUGGAGCGCUCAUCACGUUAUUACCCAGAGUGUCUCGGCUCUGGCACGGGGCACUGCUCUUCGCACAGAUGGAAUGAGUUCUAUCACAGAGGCCUGACUGAGGCCUCUCUCUCUCUCUCUCUCUCUCUUUCUCUCUCUAUCUCUCUCUUUCUCUCUCUUUCUCUCUCUCUCUCUCUGUUCCAUGUCUCUUCCUCCUUUUCUGUCUCACCAUCUGUCUCUCAAUCCAUCUCCAGUGAAUGACGUAUGGACCAUACUUCUGCUCGUGUGUGUGUGUGUGUGUGUGUGUGUGUGUGUGUGUGUGUGUGUGUGUGUGGUGCUCACUCUAGAACAGGAACUGGUGUGUUUUGCCCUUUCUGUGUUCUCCUCAUUACUCUUCCCUGAUAGCCCCUAUGACCUCAUCCUCUCAGUGAUGCAACUGACCGCAACAUCUCCCUCCAAUGGGACCCACAGACAAGGCAACUGUAACAACUACUGAUCUCCCCACUACUUUACAUUUCAGCUUAAUGUGAUGUUCGCAUACUGAGUCACGUGAUAUUAGUUGUUAAUUAAGAAACCUAUCCAUCCGGCGGUGGUGUUUGAGUUGUAUACGCAUUAGUUAUAAAUGCGUUGAGCAGUUAUGUUGGGUCAUGUGCUUUACACCUGCAGAUAGAUGGUGGGUGGAGUAGGAAUCCUUCAUUUGAUUUCAUUCAUUCAUUCAACCUUUAUUAAUUCCUGGAAGUUCAUUGAGGGUAGUCCUUAUUUUCAGUGAUGCCGAGAUAAUCUGAUCAAUUAUGUCAUUUGAUCAAUUAUCAAAUGAUCCAUUGGAGGGGGAUGGGAAAUAUGGUCCUUCCAGGAUGAGGUCUGAGCUGUGCCUCUGUGCCAGGUGAGAUGGGGUCUGAGCUGUGCCUCUGUGCCAGGUGAGAUGGGGUCUGAGCUGUGCCUCUGUGCCAGGUGAGAUGGGGUCUGUAAUGUGCCUCUGUGCCAGGUGAGAUGGGGUCUGAGCUGUGCCUCUGUGCCAGGUGAGAUGGGGUCUGAGCUGUGCCUCUGUGCCAGGUGAGAUGGGGUCUGAGCUGUGCCUCUGUGCCAGGUGAGAUGGGGUCUGUAAUGUGCCUCUGUGCCAGGUGAGAUGGGGUCUGAGCUGUGCCUCUGUGCCAGGUGAGAUGGGGUCUGAGCUGUGCCUCUGUGCCAGGUGAGAUGGGGUCUGUAAUGUGCCUCUGUGCCAGGUGAGAUGGGGUCAGAAAUGUGCCUCUGUGCCAGGUGAGAUGUAUUUGACUGGUGUAAUGACGUUACGUUCCCCCUUUCCCUCCUUCUUGUCCUCAUGCUGAUGUUUGUCUUCUUCUCUCCAAUCUACCCUUCUUUCUCCCACUCCUCUCUCUCUCUCCAUGGAUGCCCUUCUUUCUCCCACUCCUCUCUCUCUCUCUCUCUCUCUCUCUCUCUCUCUCUCUCUCUCCAUGGAUGUCCUUCUUUCUCUCUCUCCAUAACCUCUGUGGUCCCCCUUUCCUUAUCCCCAACUUAUCCUCCUGUCUGAUUGUCUCUCUUCUUUUUUUUUUUUCUCUCCUUUUUCUUUCAUCCUGCUUCUCAUUCCUCCUCUUCCUGCCUUGC